CUUCCUGUUUCGGCCGCGCCCUCUCCAGCGCCGGCCGGGGGCGGGGGCGGGGACGGAACUGGGGCAGCGCAGGCCGGAGUGCGGCCGAGACUAGCAGCUGCGGGACAUGACGGCAGGCCGCCAGGCCGAGGGUGCGGGUAUGGACCACGCCUCCGCACGGCUGCCCUCCCGGGUGGCCAAGCUACUGUCUGCACUCUUCUACGGGACCUGCUCCUUCCUCCUCGUGCUGGUUAACAAGGCGCUGCUGACCACCUACCGUUUCCCAUCACCAGUUGUUCUUGGAAUUGGACAGAUGGCAGUUACCAUAAUGAUACUAUAUGUGUCCAAGCUAAAUAAAGUAAUUCACUUCCCUGAUUUUGACAAGAAAAUUCCUAUUAAGCUGUUCCCUCUGCCUCUCCUCUACAUUGGAAACCACAUAAGUGGAUUAUCAAGCACAAGUAAAUUAAGCUUGCCGAUGUUCACCGUGCUCAGGAAAUUUACCAUUCCACUUACUUUACUCCUGGAAACCAUCAUACUCGGGAAACAGUAUUCCUUGAACAUCAUUGUCAGUGUCUUUGCCAUCAUUCUUGGUGCUUUCAUAGCAGCUGGUUCUGACCUUGCUUUUAACUUGGAAGGCUAUAUUUUUGUAUUCCUGAAUGAUAUCUUCACAGCAGCGAAUGGUGUUUAUACCAAACAGAAAAUGGACCCAAAGGAGUUAGGGAAAUAUGGAGUGCUUUUCUACAAUGCCUGCUUCAUGAUUAUCCCAACUCUUAUCAUUAGUGUCUCUACUGGAGACCUUCGACAGGCUACUGAAUUCAACCAAUGGAAGAAUGUUCUAUUUAUCAUACAGUUUCUUCUUUCCUGUUUUUUGGGGUUUCUGUUGAUGUACUCCACACUUUUGUGCAGCUAUUACAAUUCGGCCCUGACGACGGCGGUGGUUGGAGCCAUCAAGAACGUAUCCGUUGCCUACAUUGGAAUGUUAGUAGGUGGAGACUACAUUUUCUCCGUAUUAAACUUUGUAGGGUUAAAUAUUUGCAUGGCAGGGGGCUUGAGAUAUUCCUUUUUAACUUUAAACAGCCAGUUAAAACCUAAACAACCUGUGGACGAAGAAAACAUCCCUCAAGAUUUGAAGGGCUAGAACCUGGGGCAGAAUUGCAGACUGGCUUGCAGACUGGGGGGAAUGAGGGAAUAUUCCCAGCUGUUUUGGUUGUGGCACUCACCCCUGGUUAAGGCACAACAGGAAUGUCUGCAAAAUGCAAAGAGAAUCUACAUCACGUGCUGCAUGAGGAGCCACCAUCAGCCCUGAGAAAUGUAUCCGGGCAAAGCCUUACCAGCUGAAAGUGAAUCUUCUCAAAAUAAACCACUGGUGAGAGGGAUUGUUUCCAAGGCACUUGCGUGGACCGCACAUCUGUGUGCUGUUCCAGGUUUGUUCAGGGGCUUUGAAAUUCAGAUCAUACGGACUUUAACCAAGGUACAUUUUUUUCCUGGGCUUGCCUGAUCCACCAGACCAGUGGUGUGUGGGAAGGAAGAACCCCGGUUUGGAUGAGAGUUAUUAUCAUCUCCAUCAAGAAAUGGACUGUCCCCGUCGGGGUUGUGGUGCGGGGUAGGGCCCCCGUCUGGAGGGGGCCAGUCAGGAGCUCUUCUUUCUAGUCUUGUCUUCACUGCUAACAUACCAAGACCUUCACAGGUCACCUUGCCACUGUCGCCUCCAUUUUUUAAUCUUUAAAAUGGAACUGUGUCUCCAAAUCCCUGCCACUCUGACUUUCUAAGUUUAUAGAAGCUGAGCCAGAUGGACAGAGCAGCAAAUGAAGAAAUGAUUCUGUUGACAUGUUUCAAUUUACUUUAACAUUUAAAAAAUUUUAAUUGUAAAAUACACAUAACAUAAAAUUUACCAUCGUAACCAUUUCUAAGUGUACACUUCAGUAGUGUUAAGCAUAUGCACACUGUUUUGUAGCCAAUCUCCAGAACUUUUUCAUGUUGCAAAACUGAAACUCUAUACCCAUUAAACAAUAAUUCCCCAUUCAUCCCUUUCCCCAGCUCCUGGCAACCACCAUUCUACUUUCUUUCUCUAUGAAUGUGACUACUGUAGGUACCUCAUAAAAGUAGAAUCACACAAUAUUUAUCUUUCAGUAGCUGGCUUAUUUCACUUAGGAUAAUAUCAUCAAGUUUCAUCCAUGUUGCAGCAUG